rnacentral:misc_RNA from 1 species
GAUGAAGAACGUAGCGAAAUGCGAUAAGUAGUGUGAAUUGCAGAAUUCAGUGAAUCAUCGAAUCUUUGAACGCACAUUGCGCCUUCUAGUAUUCUGGGAGGCAUGCCUGUUUGAGCGUCAUUUCAACCAUCAAGCCCCCGGCUUGUGUUGGGGACCUGCGGCUGCCGCAGGCCCUGAAAACCAGUGGCGGGCUCGCUAGUCACUCCGAGCGUAGUAAUACAUCUCGCUCAGGGCGUGCUGCGGGUUCCGGCCGUUAAAAAGCCUUAUUUACCCAAGGUUGACCUCGGAUCAGGUAGGAAGACCCGCUGAACUUAAGCAUAUCAAUAAGCGGAGGA